rnacentral:rRNA from 1 species
UCGGUCCCUAUCUGCCGUGGGUGUAGGAGAAUUGAGAGGAGCUGUCCCUAGUACGAGAGGACCGGGAUGGACGCACCUCUGGUGGACCUGUUGUCGCGCCAGCGGCACAGCAGGGUAGCUAAGUGCGGACGGGAUAACCGCUGAAAGCAUCUAAGCGGGAAGCCCACCUCAAAACGAGUUCUCCCUUGAGAGCCGUGGAAGACCACCACGUUGAUAGGCUGGAUGUGGAAGCGCAGCAAUGCGUGAAGCUAACCAGUACUAAUCGCUCGAUCGGCUUGAUUGC